rnacentral:rRNA from 1 species
GAUGAACGCUAGCGACAGGCCUAACACAUGCAAGUCGAACGGGAUUGGGAGCUUGCUCCCAUGAGAGUGGCGCACGGGUGAGUAACGCGUAUGCAACCUACCUGUAACUGGGGGAUAGCUCCCUGAAAGGGGAAUUAACACCGCAUAAGACCACGCCAUCACCUGAUGGAGGGGUAAAAUAUUUAUAGGUUACAGAUGGGCAUGCGUGACAUUAGUUUGUUGGUGAGGUAACGGCUCACCAAGACUACGAUGUCUAGGGGUUCUGAGAGGAAGGUCCCCCACACUGGUACUGAGACACGGACCAGACUCCUACGGGAGGCAG